rnacentral:rRNA from 1 species
GACGAACGCUGGCGGCGUGCUUAACACAUGCAAGUCGAGCGGUAAGGCCCUUUCGGGGGUACACGAGCGGCGAACGGGUGAGUAACACGUGGGUGACCUGCCCUCAGCUCUGGGAUAAGCCUGGGAAACCGGGUCUAAUACUGGAUAUGACUCCAUGACGCAUGUUGUGGGGUGGAAAGCCUUGUGCGGCUGAGGAUGGGCCCGCGGCCUAUCAGCUUGUUGGUGGGGUGANGGCCUACCAAGGCGACGACGGGUAGCCGGCCUGAGAGGGCGACCGGCCACACUGGGACUGAGACACGGCCCAGACUCCUACGGGAGGCAGCAGUGGGGAAUCUUGCGCAAUGGGCGAAAGCCUGACGCAGCGACGCCGCGUGAGGGAUGACGGCCUGGUGUAA